UACGGAGUGUGCAAGCGUUGUUCGGAAUUACUGGGCGUAAAGCGCGCGCAGGCGGCUUGGCAAGUCAGGUGUGAAAUGCCCCGGCUCAACUGGGGAAGUGCGCUUGAAACUACCUUGCUAGAGUACGGGAGGGGGGAGCGGAAUUCCCAGUGUAGAGGUGAAAUUCGUAGAUAUUGGGAGGAACACCAGUGGCGAAGGCGGCUCCCUGGACCGAUACUGACGCUGAGGCGCGAAAGCGUGGGGAG
rnacentral:rRNA from 1 species